AUGUUAGCGGCGGACGGGUGAGUAACACGUGGGUAACCUACCUAUAAGACUGGGAUAACUUCGGGAAACCGGAGCUAAUACCGGAUAACAUUUGGAACCGCAUGGUUCUAAAGUGAAAGAUGGUUUUGCUAUCACUUAUAGAUGGACCCGCGCCGUAUUAGCUAGUUGGUAAGGUAACGGCUUACCAAGGCGACGAUACGUAGCCGACCUGAGAGGGUGAUCGGCCACACUGGAACUGAGACACGGUCCAG
rnacentral:rRNA from 1 species